rnacentral:rRNA from 1 species
UACAGAGGGUGCAAGCGUUGUUCGGAAUUACUGGGCGUAAAGGGCUCGUAGGCGGCCAACUAAGUCGGAUGUGAAAUCCCCAGGCUCAACUUGGGAACUGCAUCCGAUACUGGAUGGCUUGAAUUCGGGAGAGGGAUGCAGAAUUCCAGGUGUAGCGGUGAAAUGCGUAGAUAUCUGGAGGAAUACCGGUGGCGAAGGCGGCAUCCUGGACCGGUAUUGACGCUGAGGCGCGAAAGCCAGGGGAGCAAAGCGGG